UACGUAGGUGGCAAGCGUUGUCCGGAUUUACUGGGUGUAAAGGGCGCGUAGGCGGGUGUGCAAGUCAGAUGUGAAAUGCCAAGGCUUAACCAUGGAGCUGCAUUUGAAACUGUACAUCUUGAGUAUCGGAGGGGCAGGCGGAAUUCCUAGUGUAGCGGUGAAAUGCGUAGAUAUUAGGAGGAACACCAGUGGCGAAGGCGGCCUGCUGGACGACAACUGACGCUGAGGCGCGAAAGCGUGGGGAGCAAAC
rnacentral:rRNA from 1 species